GGAGGGUAUAGCUCAGUGGUAGAGCACGUGCUUAGCAUGCACAAGGUCCUGGGUUCAAUCCCCAGUGCCUCCA
rnacentral:tRNA from 1 species